rnacentral:rRNA from 1 species
GGUCAAGCGAAUAAGUGCAUGUGGUGGAUGCCUUGGCGAUCACAGGCGAUGAAGGACGUAGUAGCUUGCGAAAAGCUGCGGGGAGCUGGCAAACGAGCUUUGAUCCGCAGAUGUCCGAAUGGGGAAACCCGGCCCGUAUGGGUCAUCCCUUGCUGAAUACAUAGGCAAGGGAGGCGAACGCAGUGAACUGAAACAUCUAAGUAGCUGCAGGAAAAGAAAUCAACCGAGAUUCCCAAAGUAGUGGCGAGCGAAAUGGGAACAGCCUUGUACUCUUUAGCAGUAUUGUUAGCGGAACGGAAUGGAAAGUCCGGCCAUAGUGGGUGAUAGCCCCGUACGCGAAAACAGUAUUGUGGAACUAGGUGUACGACAAGUAGGGCGGGACACGUGAAAUCCUGUCUGAAGAUGGGGGGACCAUCCUCCAAGGCUAAAUACUCGUGAUCGACCGAUAGUGAACCAGUACCGUGAGGGAAAGGCGAAAAGAACCCCGGGAGGGGAGUGAAAUAGAUCCUGAAACCGCAUGCAUACAAACAGUCGGAGCCUGGAAACGGGUGACGGCGUACCUUUUGUAUAAUGGGUCAGCGACUUACAUUCAGUGGCAAGCUUAACCGAUUAGGGAAGGCGUAGCGAAAGCGAGUCCGAAUAGGGCGUUCAGUCGCUGGGUGUAGACCCGAAACCAAGUGAUCUAUCCAUGGCCAGGUUGAAGGUGCGGUAACACGUACUGGAGGACCGAACCCACUAACGUUGAAAAGUUAGGGGAUGAGCUGUGGAUAGGGGUGAAAGGCUAAACAAACUUGGAAAUAGCUGGUUCUCUCCGAAAACUAUUUAGGUAGUGCCUCGUGUCUCACCUUCGGGGGUAGAGCACUGUCAUGGUUGGGGGGUCUAUUGCUGAUUACCCCGCCAUAGCAAACUCCGAAUACCGAAGAGUGCAAUCACGGGAGACAGACAUCGGGUGCUAACGUCCGGUGUCAAGAGGGAAACAACCCAGACCGCCAGCUAAGGUCCCUAAGAUUGGCUAAGUGGGAAACGAAGUGGGAAGGCUAAAACAGUCAGGAGGUUGGCUUAGAAGCAGCCACCCUUUAAAGAAAGCGUAAUAGCUCACUGAUCGAGUCGUCCUGCGCGGAAGAUGUAACGGGGCUAAGCCAGUCACCGAAGCUGCGGAUGCACGUAAGUGCAUGGUAGGAGAGCGUUCUGUAAGCCUGUGAAGGUGUCUUGUAAAGGAUGCUGGAGGUAUCAGAAGUGCGAAUGCUGACAUGAGUAGCGAUAAAGGGGGUGAAAGGCCCCCUCGCCGUAAGCCCAAGGUUUCCUACGCAACGUUCAUCGGCGUAGGGUGAGUCGGCCCCUAAGGCGAGGCAGAGAUGCGUAGCUGAUGGGAAGCAGGUUAAUAUUCCUGCACCGUCGUAUGAUGCGAUGGGGGGACGGAUCGCGGAAGGUUGUCCGGGUGUUGGAAGUCCCGGUCCCUACAUUGGAGAUGGCACUUAGGCAAAUCCGGGUGCGUGAUUCAAGGGUGUGGGGCGAGCGACGUUAGGUCGCGAAGCAAUUGGAAGUGGUUCCAAGAAAAGCCUCUAAGCUUCAGUCAUACGAGACCGUACCGCAAACCGACACAGGUGGGCGAGAUGAGUAUUCUAAGGCGCUUGAGAGAACUCGGGAGAAGGAACUCGGCAAAUUGGUACCGUAACUUCGGGAUAAGGUACGCCCUUGUAGUUUGACUGGCUCGCGCCAGAAGGAUGAAGGGGUUGCAAUAAAAUGGUGGCUGCGACUGUUUAAUAAAAACACAGCACUCUGCAAACACGAAAGUGGACGUAUAGGGUGUGACGCCUGCCCGGUGCCGGAAGAUUAAAUGAUGGGGUGCAAGCUCUUGAUUGAAGUCCCGGUAAACGGCGGCCGUAACUAUAACGGUCCUAAGGUAGCGAAAUUCCUUGUCGGGUAAGUUCCGACCUGCACGAAUGGCGUAACGAUGGCCACACUGUCUCCUCCCGAGACUCAGCGAAGUUGAAGUGUUUGUGAUGAUGCAAUCUCCCCGCGGCUAGACGGAAAGACCCCAUGAACCUUUACUGUAGCUUUGCAUUGGACUUUGAACCGAUCUGUGUAGGAUAGGUGGGAGGCUUUGAAACCGGGACGCUAGUUUCGGUGGAGCCGACCUUGAAAUACCACCCUGGUUUGUUUGAGGUUCUAACCUUGGCCCGUGAAUCCGGGUCGGGGACAGUGCAUGGUAGGCAGUUUGACUGGGGCGGUCUCCUCCCAAAGUGUAACGGAGGGUUCGAAGGUACGCUUGGUACGGUCGGACAUCGUACCUAAAGUGCAAUGGCAAAAGCGUGCUUAACUGCGAGACCGACAAGUCGAGCAGGUGCGAAAGCAGGACAUAGUGAUCCGGUGGUUCUGUAUGGAAGGGCCAUCGCUCAACGGAUAAAAGGUACUCUGGGGAUAACAGGCUGAUACCGCCCAAGAGUUCAUAUCGACGGCGGUGUUUGGCACCUCGAUGUCGGCUCAUCUCAUCCUGGGGCUGUAGCCGGUCCCAAGGGUAUGGCUGUUCGCCAUUUAAAGAGGUACGUGAGCUGGGUUUAAAACGUCGUGAGACAGUUUGGUCCCUAUCUGCCGUGGGCGUUGGAAUCUUGACGGGGGCUGCUCCUAGUACGAGAGGACCGGAGUGGACGUACCGCUGGUGUACCUGUUGUCUCGCCAGAGGCAUCGCAGGGUAGCUAUGUACGGAAGAGAUAACCGCUGAAAGCAUCUAAGCGGGAAACUCGCCUGAAGAUGAGGAUUCCCUGGAGACUUGAUCUCCCUGAAGGGUCGUUCGAGACCAGGACGUUGAUAGGCUGGGUGUGGAAGCGCAGUAAUGCGUUCAGCUAACCAGUACUAAUUGCCCGUGCGGCUUGAUCCU